GAGUUUGAUCCUGGCUCAGAUUGAACGCUGGCGGCAUGCUUUACACAUGCAAGUCGAACGGGGUGGAGGGGCAACUCUCCAUUCAGUGGCGAACGGGUGAGUAAUGCAUCGGAACGUGUCCCGUAGUGGGGGAUAACGCCGCGAAAGCGGCGCUAAUACCGCAUAUGCUCUACGGAGGAAAGCAGGGGACCGCAAGGCCUUGUGCUAUGGGAGCGGCCGAUGUCCGAUUAGCUAGUUGGUGAGGUAAUGGCUCACCAAGGCGACGAUCGGUAGCUGGUCUGAGAGGAUGAUCAGCCACACUGGGACUGAGACACGGCCCAGACUCCUACGGGAGGCAGCAGUGGGGAAUCUUGCGCAAUGGGCGAAAGCCUGACGCAGCGACGCCGCGUGGGGGAUGAAGCUUCUCGGAGUGUAAACCCCUUUCGACCCGGACGAAUACCUCGCAAGAGGGGUGACGGUACGGGUAUAAGAAGCCCCGGCUAACUACGUGCCAGCAGCCGCGGUAAGACGUAGGAGGCCAGCGUUGUUCGGAAUUACUGGGUGUAAAGGGUUCGUAGGCGGUGUGGCAAGUCGGGAGUGAAAUCUAUGGGCUUAACCCAUAGGCUGCUUCCGAAACUGCCGUGCUUGAGUGUGGGAGAGGCGCGUGGAAUUGCAGGUGUAGCGGUGAAAUGCGUAGAUAUCUGCAGGAACACCCGUGGCGAAAGCGGCGCGCUGGACCACUACUGACGCUGAGGAACGAAAGCUAGGGGAGCGAACAGGAUUAGAUACCCUGGUAGUCCUAGCCCUAAACGAUCAGGACUUGGGGUGCCACCCGUUCGGGUGUCGUCCCGGAGCUAACGCGUUAAGUCCUGCACCUGGGGAGUACGGUCGCAAGACUGAAACUCAAAGGAAUUGACGGGGGCCCGCACAAGCGGUGGAACAUGUGGUUCAAUUCGACGCUACGCGAGGAACCUUACCUGGGCUCGAAAUGCUGGUGACCAGCUGUAGAAAUACGGCCUUCCCGCAAGGGACACCAGUAUAGGCGCUGCAUGGCUGUCGUCAGCUCGUGCCGUGAGGUGUUGGGUUAAGUCCCGCAACGAGCGCAACCCCUGCACGUAGUUGCCACUCCGCAAGGAGGGAACUCUACGUGGACUGCUCCGGAUAACGGAGAGGAAGGUGGGGAUGACGUCAAGUCCGCAUGCCCUUUAUGUCCAGGGCUACACACGUGUUACAAUGCAGGGUACAAACCGUUGCCAACCCGCGAGGGGGAGCUAAUCGGAAAAAACCCUGCUCAGUUCGGAUUGCAGUCUGCAACUCGACUGCAUGAAGCCGGAAUCGCUAGUAAUGGCGUAUCAGAUCGACGCCGUGAAUACGUUCCCGGGCCUUGUACACAC
rnacentral:rRNA from 1 species